rnacentral:rRNA from 1 species
CUAACAAGGAUUCCCCUAGUAACUGCGAGUGAAGCGGGAAAAGCUCAAAUUUAAAAUCUGGCAGUCUUUGGCUGUCCGAGUUGUAAUCUAGAGAAGUAUUAUCCGCGCUGGACCGUGUACAAGUCUCCUGGAAUGGGGCGUCAUAGAGGGUGAGAAUCCCGUCUUUGACACGGACUGCCAGGGCUUUGUGAUAUGCUCUCAAAGAGUCGAGUUGUUUGGGAAUGCAGCUCAAAAUGGGUGGUAAAUUCCAUCUAAAGCUAAAUAUUGGCGAGAGACCGAUAGCGAACAAGUACCGUGAGGGAAAGAUGAAAAGAACUUUGGAAAGAGAGUUAAACAGUACGUGAAAUUGCUGAAAGGGAAACGCUUGAAGUCAGUCGCGUUGGCCAGGGAUCAACCUUGCUUUUUUGCUUGGCUUACUUUCUGGUUGAUGGGUCAGCAUCAAUUUUGACUGGUGGAAAAAGUUCAAGGGAAUGUGGCAUCUUUCGGAUGUGUUAUAGCCUUUGUUCACAUACAUUGGUUGGGAUUGAGGAACUCAGCACGCCGCAAGGCCGGGUUUUUAACCACGUACGUGCUUAGGAUGCUGGCAUAAUGGCUUUAAUCGACCCGUCUUGAAACACGGACCAAGGAGUCUAACAUGCCUGCGAGUAUUUGGGUGAAAAACCCGAGUGCGUAAUGAAAGUGAAAGUUGAGAUCCCUGUCGUGGGGAGCAUUGACGCCCGGAUCUGACCUUUUGUGACGAUUCUGCGGUAGAGCAUGUAUGUUGGGACCCGAAAGAUGGUGAACUAUGCCUGAAUAGGGUGAAGCCAGAGGAAACUCUGGUGGAGGCUCGUAGCGAUUCUGACGUGCAAAUCGAUCGUCAAAAUUUGGGUAUAGGGGCGAAA